UUGUGCGUUAAAGUUGUGGUGGCCAGAGACCAUCUUCCCAGCCAAAUUUUGGUGCAGGUUAAAAGAGCUUUUAUUCCUUUGCCAACAGGAGAAUCUGAGACUGCUCUUCAGAAGAAUGAGAUGAACUGUUCCUUGCCAAGGCAAACAUCCUCACCCACCUCAACUGCGUUACAUUUUUCUUGCUUGUUCCAGAGCUGUACCAGCAUGUUAACCAGCAGUACAAGAUGGGACUUCUUGGACAUCACUGUGUUCUGAGAAUUACUGAAGAAGAACCACUAAAUACUAAGCUCAUGCAGCUGCACCUGGUACAAAGAGGUCCUGUGGGUUAGAGGAAUCAUUUA